CAUUAGGUAGCACAGUGGUUUGAGAGUUGGACUAUGACUCUGAAGACCAGGGUUUGAUUCCCAGUUUGCCUA